UAUUUCGAGGAUAGAUAUAUAUUUUUUUAAAUCUUAAUAUUCAACUUCCUUAAAUCUAGAACCACAACACUCACUUCACUUCAUAAUUCUCACUUCAUCACUCUUUCAACUCCUGGAAUCAGAAUGAAUCAAUCCGAGCAGAAUUCCUUAUGCGUGGAAAAACCUUCACAGACUUCAUCAGGUUCCUACACACCGCCA